GAGACCCACGCCAACAGUUGCCAGCUCGUCCUCUGGGAUGGAGGGGACACUGUUGGGACCGCCUCUGCUAAAGAGGAGGAAGGAAUGGGCAACGGUAGGUCAGCAUGCCCCGAAUUGUCCGGGCUACACGCGGGCUACAAUGGGUGGGACAAUGGGUAUCGACACCGAAAGGUGAAGGCAAUCUCCUAAACCCAUCCUUAGUUCGGAUUGUGGGCUGCAACUCGCCCACAUGAAGCUGGAAUCCGUAGUAAUCGUGUCUCAAAAUGGCACGGUGAAUAU
rnacentral:rRNA from 1 species